rnacentral:hammerhead_ribozyme from 1 species
AUCCAGCUGACGAGUCCCAAAUGGAAUGAGAUGCUCAUUCUGGAU